rnacentral:rRNA from 1 species
CCAGGGGGACAAUUGGUUGGGGCGGUUGAGGACUUGAACCUGGGGAUGCUUGUCUAUCCGAAAGUCCAACUCCCUAUAUAUGGCUUGGAUUUGUUCCAUAGAGGGUGAAAGUCCCGUACGGAUAGAUUUAAUUGUCUUUAUAAGCAUGCCUUAGAUGUUCAGGUCUUAGAGUCGGAUUGCUUGAGAAUGCAGUCCAAAGUGGGUGGUAAACUCCAUCCAAGGCUAAAUACUGGCACGAGUCCGAUAGUAUACAAGUACCGCGAGGGAAAGUUGAAAAGUACUCUGAAGAGAGAGUAAAUAGUACGUGAAGCCGCCUGUAUGGAAGCUGGUGGAGUCAAGCUUCUUAUCGUUUCAAUUGGCAUGGAGAAUCCAUUUUUCUUGGGUUAUGGUCUUGUUGGCUUGGAAAUAACCGGGUGGUUCGCCAUCUCAUUUAUUCCGGGUAGUGUAUUUGUUGCGAGACCUAUCAUCCAGUCUCUUAUGCUAUUUGUUAUGAUAGUUAUCACAAUCAAUGCGUAUUAUUAUGCGUGGUUAUCAAACCACGUGUUAGCGGGCUUUAUUGUUCGCU